AUCUAGUUCAGUGAUCCACCAACUGUGACCUUUGGCAGCCCUCCUGGUGACUGGAAGAAUAGAGCAUCUGGACAUCAGGAAGAUAAGAAAGUUGGGAAGGCAGCUGGGUCUUCAGGAAAAAGCUUCUCUUCUUAGCAACCAAACCCCAUCACAUGAGCCUAUCAGAAGGACAAAUGGUUAAGGCAGCUUUGGUGAAAUAGGUGUUGGGAGUUCAAAUUACCUCCAAGAGAAGAACCCCAAACUGAGGUCCUGCAAGUCUGCGCUAACCAUUGAAUGGUUGGAUGAGGUGCCCAGCWUGAUACGAAAGCUGGGAACAGGUUCUAGAAAAAGAUUCCAUAUUGCUUUGGAUGUCACAUUCAUGCCUUUGGGAAAUAGUGUAAGUGCGCUCCUUUGUAAACCAUGCAAUAAGGAAGCUACAAAAUGUCUGAUCUACCUGAACUCAGCAAUAUGGUUAGUAAGAUCCAGCUCUUGUGUGGGUUUAGACUUUGGAGAUGU
ensembl:lncRNA